rnacentral:rRNA from 1 species
UCCGAAGGGGGCUAUCGUUGUUCGGAAUCACUGGGCGUAAAGCGCACGUAGGCGGAUUGAUAAGUCAGGGGUGAAAGCCCGAGGCUCAACCUCGGAAUUGCCUUUGAUACUGUCAAUCUCGAGUCCGGGAGAGGUGAGUGGAAUUCCUAGUGUAGAGGUGAAAUUCGUAGAUAUUAGGAAGAACACCAGUGGCGAAGGCGGCUCACUGGCCCGGUACUGACGCUGAGGUGCGAAAGCGUGGGGAGAAAACAGG